rnacentral:rRNA from 1 species
UACAGAGGUCUCAAGCGUUGUUCGGAUUCAUUGGGCGUAAAGGGUGCGUAGGCGGCGCGGUAAGUCGGGUGUGAAAUCUCGGAGCUUAACUCCGAAACUGCAUUCGAUACUACCGUGCUUGAGGACUGGAGAGGAGACUGGAAUUUACGGUGUAGCGGUGAAAUGCGUAGAUAUCGUAAGGAAGACCAGUGGCGAAGGCGGGUCUCUGGACAGUUACUGACGCUGAGGCACGAAGGCCAGGGGAGCAAACGGG